rnacentral:snRNA from 1 species
CUCUAAUCUCUGAUCUUUGUCUAAGAUCAAGUUUAACAUCUGUUCUUAUCAGGUAAAUAUCUUCUACGUGAUUGACUUGAAGAUGUCAUAUUAAAACGAUUUUUGGCGCCAAAAAAUGGUUAGAACGUUUUCUAUCUAUCCUAUGCAUCUGCCUGUUAUUGCAGUGUCCCCAGAAGCAGCACAUCAA